GCAAAGAAAUUCUGAUACAUGCUACAACAUAAAUGAAAUUGAGGACAUUAUACCGAGUGAAGUAAGCCAGCCACACAAAGACAAAUACUAUAUGGUCCCACUUAUUUGAAGUACCUCGAGUUGUCAGAUUCACAGAGACAGAAAGCAGAAUAGUGGUUGCCCGGGGCUGGGGAGAGGCAGGUAUGGAGAGUUGCCAUUCAACGGGUACAGAGUUUUGGUUUUGCAAGAUGAAGAACGUUCUGGAGGUGGGUGGUGAUACUGGUUGCAUAAUGACGUGAAAGUACUUAAUACCACUAAACCGUACACUUAAAAUGGUUAAAAUGGUCCAUUUUAUGUUUUAUAUAUUUUGCCACAACUUAUGACAGAUCUUAACCAUUCCCAGGCCUGCCAAAGCUUUCAGGUAAUUUCCUUCUGCUGGAUGUUUGCUGUUUUCCCUCCAGAUAACCGGCUUUUAUUUCUUUCUCCUCCUAAGACCAGACUGCUCUCUGCCAGGAUCUCUAGGCCCUCCACACUGGCCAGUACUCCUACGGAGGGCAGGGCCCAGCCCCAGGGCCUUUAGCUCACUCUCCUGGGAAGAAAGCGCCUCUACUCCGAAGGCAGUCGGUACAUACUUUACUCACAACAGUCGGCAGGUGGCUGUGGAUCCCUUUUGUUCCCAGGAAUCACAUGGGGACGAACUGCACUGUGUAUUUGCCAUCACUGGUAGCUAAUGCCAACAGUGACGUUGGGCAUCGUUAUUAACAGGAAACCAGAGAUCACGCUACUUGCUAAAGGACCUUGACCACAUCACUGCAAGUCUCUGGUGGGGGUGGGGGGAAAGAAAGUCUCUGGACCCUCAGUUUUCCCUUCAGUAAAAAGUAGACAAGAAUUAUUGAUACCCACCUCCCCCAGAGAAACUGAGGAUGGGCUAGGGAGAAAAGGAUUGGGGUGCACUUAGCCAAUCUAUUCUGCAUUAUCCUUUAUGUGGGUAAACCCCAAACCUGGCUGAGUAUUAUAAUCACAUGGGUAGCCUUUAAAAUUAGAAAUCCCAGCUUCCUUGAAUUUCUCCUUUUUCCCAGCCAGGUGGCCCCUGAUGUGAAGGGAACCCCCUUGGGUUGAGAAGUGAGGUGGUUUCAACUUUCCUAGCUAAAUCCUCUCCAGCUUGGCUUAAAGGCUAUGAGAUGGAAAGCAGCCGUCUGUCUCCUUUGCGCUCUCGCUUGGACUCGCUGUUCCCCCAAUUUUGGCACUUCUCACAUACUGCCUGUUAUUUUUACUUAACUAUUUCAAAUCUUUGCCUCUUAUUUCCUCAGUUAGCUACUGGAGGUUAAGAACAGUGCCAUAUCCUUCUAUUCUUGCCCACAGAUGCCAGUCUGUUAGCACGUAGUAUAUGUUCAAUAAACAUUUGUUGAAUUGCAAA